AGAUUGGGAGGCAUUGUCUUAGAUUAAUGAAUGAGUUUUACUUUUCUCCCAGUUCCCUCUUGGCCUCAGAAUCAAAAUCUUAAUUAUUGUGAAGUGGCAACAGGCCAAUAAUGUUAGAGGAAGAAGGAGAAACAAAAGAAUCAGAUAAAAUUAAUUAUUAAGGAUGAUAAGAAGUUUCUCUGUAUUAUCUCUCUUCCUUUUAAAUUAUGACAUCAUCAAUGUUUAGACAGCCUUCCAGUGGCCUGCAGACCAAAGAGUCCUUUGUGAAAUUGCAGAAGAGGAGAAUCCAGCUCCAUUGCUGAAGGAGAGAUGAUACAGGCUGCCCUCUUGCACUUUAUUAAUGAUAAUAAUUUGGAAAUGAAGACUUUGCAUGGCAUGGAAGACAGCAGGAAACAGUCACACAGCUUAGAUUGGAAAGACAAUAAA